rnacentral:rRNA from 1 species
GACGAACGCUGGCGGCGUGCUUAACACAUGCAAGUCGAACGGAAAGGCCCUGCUUUUGUGGGGUGCUCGAGUGGCGAACGGGUGAGUAACACGUGAGUAACCUGCCCUUGACUUUGGGAUAACUUCAGGAAACUGGGGCUAAUACCGGAUAGGAGCUCCUGCUGCAUGGUGGGGGUUGGAAAGUUUCGGCGGUUGGGGAUGGACUCGCGGCUUAUCAGCUUGUUGGUGGGGUAGUGGCUUACCAAGGCUUUGACGGGUAGCCGGACUGAGAGGGUGACCGGCAACAUUGGGACUGAGAUAGGGCCAAGACUCCUACGGGAGGAAGAAGUAGGGAAUAGUGAACAAAGGGCGGAAGCGUGAUGCAGAAACGCCGAGUGCGGGAUGACGGCCAUCGGGUUGGAAACCGCAUGCGCCUGUGACGAAGCGGGAGUGAAGGGAAUGGGUAAAGAAGCACCGGCUAAAUACGUG